AGAAAUGUAAUUUAGGGACGGAGGGAGUACCAUUUCUUUAAAAGUUAUCAAAAAAGAAAUAAAAAACCCUUAGUAUAAUAAAGUUGUUGCCGCCAAUAAAACAAGAACUAUCACUCCUUAUUCCUUAUCGUCCUUGCUUGCACCAAAAAAAUACUUCUAUUGUACUCCGUAAAACAAACCCCAAAACAAAAAUUUGUAAACCCCUCUCUCUUCUCACACUACGAGUCUGCGAUAACUACACUUAAGCGCAUUUGAGAUUUCUCAUCCAUUGAAGCGACUUUGAGCUUUCUCCUCCAUUGAAGCGGCUUCUCAGAUAACUACACAUACUUUAAGGAAGAAUACAUGGAAAAAGGAUUAUAAGAACAAAGGAAUUGAGAUCAACCCCGAUAAAGUCUACUUGGAGGUUGUAGGUGGGCAAAAGAAAGGAAAAGUCUGCGGUUUAGGGAGUGCUUCACAAAUGUACUACAAGAGCAAUCCUACUUCUCAACUUACUACAUCAUCUUCCACUCCUUCCAUGAUUUCUCAACUAAGCUCUCAAGUUACAGAAUUCAAAAGGAUGGCGGAAGAAAACAAUUAGUCAUAUGGAUUUGAAUAUUGUUUUUUAAAACAUUAAUACAAAAUUGAUGAUAUGUUAGAUAUUUGAAUAAACUUAACAUUUUUGUUAUUUGAAUUUAUGCGUGGGUAGCUUUUGUUUAGAAUUGAUAUAGGUCGUCGCUAAAUUAUGGUCUCUAAAUAUUGAUAGUCAGUUGCAAAAAUUUAGCGACUGCUUAUUUGUUUUA